UGGCGAUAGUGGCAAACGGGUGAGUAACGCGUAGAAAUUUUCUCUUAGUGGGGGAUAGCUAGUCGAAAGAUUAGGUAAUACCGCAUGUGAACGCAAGUUUAAAGGAUUUAUUCGCUAAGAGUGAAGUCUGCGUCCCAUCAGCUUGUUGGUAAGGUAAUGGCUUACCAAGGGCUAAGACGGGUAGCUGGUCUGAGAGGAUGAUCAGUCACACUGGGACUGCGACACGGCCCAGACACCUACGGGUGGCAGCAGUGGGGAAUUUUCGGCAAUGGGGGCAACCCUGACCGAGCAAUGCCGCGUGCAGGAUGACGGCCCUAUGGGUUGUAGACUGCUGUGGAGUCUAUCUAAAUAAAUGAAGAAAACUCUAGAAAGAGGUUGCUAACUCUGUGCCAGCAGCAGCGGUAAUACAGAGACCUCAAGCGUUAUCCGGUAUUAUUGGGCGUAAAGCGUACCGAUCGGUUGUUAGCAUGUCUGGUGUGAAUAGACC
rnacentral:rRNA from 1 species